CUCGUUUUCUUCAUUUUCCAUCUCAAAUACAAACUGCCUCAUGAAGCUUUCGCGUACCUAAUUAGAUACGUAUAAAAAUGUCCAAAUAUUUUAUAUACAAAGUCUUCUAACAUUGGGGAUGCUUUAAUCAGCCUGACUACCCUAAGAACCUAAUUGGAAAACAACAUGAGCUGAAUGAAAACUAAUAUAGAAACCUGAAAAUAUGUGAAUCCAGAAAGAUAGAAGAACGGAAUGAUGUGAAUGGUUGUACCAAUUGCUAGUAACAGCUCGAAUUUGUGAAUCGAAUGCUUGUAAUAACUGCG